rnacentral:lncRNA from 1 species
ACACCUCCAGGGAUUCUCAACAUUUACGUGGCAGAACUGAGACAUUAACAGACGUACUGAUGGGAAUAACCGAAAUCAAGAAUAAGGAUAAAAGAAUCCGAAAAAGUUAAAGAAGAUAUAUAUUCAGUCUCCAAACCAGAAAGUCAACUAAAUGGCCUUAUCAUGAAAAGGACAUCUUUUUUUGGUGUUAGUUCUAGAAAGUGUUGUAGAUGUUCUAUAUUUGCCAAGUAACCUUUGAGACCAGGAUAUCUAAUGCUUCCAUUUUAUGUAAGUUCAAGA